rnacentral:rRNA from 1 species
GUUAUUAAGGGUGCAGGGCGGAUGCCUUGGCACUAGGAGCCGAUGAAGGACGUGAUAAGCUGCGAUAAGCUUCGGGGAGUUGCACGUAAACUUUGAUCCGAAGAUUUCCGAAUGAGGAAACUCACUUAGAGUAAUGUCUAAGUAUCAUUAAGUGAAUACAUAGCUUAAUGAGGGGAACUCAGGGAACUGAAACAUCUAAGUACCUGAAGGAAGAGAAAGAAAUUCGAUUCCGUAAGUAGCGGCGAGCGAACGCGGAUUAGCCCAAACCAAUAAAGUUUUCUUUAUUGGGGUUGCGGACAUAUCAUAACGAAGAGGUAUCGUAAUUGAAGAGGUUUGGAAAGACCCACCACAGAAGGUAAUAGUCCUGUAUGUUAAACGAGAAGACUUCAGAUAUGAUCCAGAGUACCACGGGACACGUGAAACCCUGUGGGAAGCAGGAGGGACCACCCUCCAAGGCUAAAUACUACCUAGUGACCGAUAGCGUAUAGUACCGUGAGGGAAAGGUGAAAAGAACCCCGGGAGGGGAGUGAAAUAGAACCUGAAACCCUGCACUUACAAGCUGUGGAAGCACAUUUCUUGUGUGACCGCGUACUUUUUGUAGAACGGGCCAACGAGUUACGUUAAGUAGCAAGGUUAAGCACUUAAGGUGCGGAGCCGUAGCGAAAGCGAGUUUUAACUGAGCGUUCAGUUACUUGACGUAGACCCGAAACCGGGCGACCUACCCAUGAGCAGGAUGAAGCGAAAGUAAAAUUUCGUGGAGGUCCGAACCCACGAGCGUUGAAAAGCUCGGGGAUGACUUGUGGGUAGCGGUGAAAUUCCAAUCGAGCCCGGAGAUAGCUGGUUCUCCCCGAAAUAGCUUUAGGGCUAGCCUCAAGGUGAGAGAUACGGAGGUAGAGCACUGAAUGUCCUAGGGGGUAUUGCACCUACCGAAGACUAUCAAACUCCGAAUGCCGUCAUCUUAUACUUGGGAGUCAGACUGUGGGUGAUAAGAUUCAUAGUCGAAAGGGCAACAGCCCAGAUCGUCAGCUAAGGUCCCUAAAUGUAAGUUAAGUGGUAAAGGAUGUGGGAUUGCACAGACAACCAGGAUGUUGGCUUAGAAGCAGCCACUCAUUCAAAGAGUGCGUAAUAGCUCACUGGUCGAGUGAUCCUGCGCCGAAGAUUUCCGGGGCUAAAACUUACUACCGAAGCUACGGCAUCAGUAAUGAUGGGUAGGGGAGCUUCCCAUACGGGUUGAAGCAUGACCGUAAGGACAUGUGGACAGUAUGGGAGUGAGAAUGUUGGCAUGAGUAGCGAGAUGUGGGUGAGAAUCCCACAGGCCGUAAACCCAAGGUUUCCAGGGGAAGGUUCGUCCGCCCUGGGUUAGUCGGGACCUAAGCUGAGGCCGAAAGGCGUAGGUGAUGGACAACAGGUUGAUAUUCCUGUACUACCGAUAACCGUUUGAGAGAAGGGAUGACACAGUAGGAUAAGCUAAGCACACUGUUGGUUAUGUGUGCCCAAGCAUUGAGGCAGUCAAAGUAGGCAAAUCCGCUUUGAUAAUGCUGGGAUGUGAUGGGGAGCGAAAUUUAGUAGCGAAGUAGCUGAUUUCACACUGUCAAGAAAAGUCUCUAUCGAGGUUAAAGGUACCCGUACCGCAAACCGACACAGGUGGGUGAGGAGAGUAUCCUAAGGCCAGCGAGAGAACUGUUGUUAAGGAACUCGGCAAAAUGACCCCGUAACUUAGGGAUAAGGGGUGCCACCAUCAGGUGGCCGCAGAGAAUAGGCCCAAGCGACUGUUUACCAAAAACAUAGGUUUCUGCUAAGUCGCAAGACGAUGUAUAGGAGCUGACGCCUGCCCGGUGCUGGAAGGUUAAGGGGAUCUGUUAGAGCAAUCGAAGCAGUGAACUUAAGCCCCAGUAAACGGCGGCCGUAACUAUAACGGUCCUAAGGUAGCGAAAUUCCUUGUCGGGUAAGUUCCGACCCGCACGAAAGGCGUAACGAUUUGGGCACUGUCUCAACAACAGACUCGGUGAAAUUGUAAUUCCGGUGAAGAUGCCGGAUACCUGCGACAGGACGGAAAGACCCCAUGGAGCUUUACUGUAGCUUGACAUUGGGUCUUGGUACUACAUGUACAGGAUAGGUGGGAGGCUUUGAAACCAGGACGCCAGUUUUGGCGGAGCCAUCCUUGGGAUACCACCCUUGUAGUACUGGGACUCUAACCAUAGGCCAUGAAUCUGGUCUUGGGACACUGUCA